CCGGCAUAAAUCCCCAGAAUUUGCUCCUGGGGAGACUCGAACUCACAACCUCUCGGUUGUAAGUGAGGGUUGGUUACCAUCAGACCAAGCCCCUCUUAAAGUCGCUGGGAAAGGAGUUUGAAGCAAAAGAUUUAAUCAGAGCAUGCAUUAGUUUAGUUUUGUUAUUGUGAAUGAUUUUUAUAUAUGUUAGAAAGCAUUAAUUAUUAAGAGUUGUGAUCGAAAUGGCCAGAACUCUAAAUGCCAUAUUCUAGAUAGUCUUCUUUUGAAGUUUUAAAUGCCAAUAAUUUCCUCUUUUGUGUAUUUUGUAUGUUGGAUAAUUACCACAAAUUUCACUAUUUGUAUAAGGGGUUUUGAGUCAAAUUGUGUUGGGAUUAGUCGAAGUUAGUUAUCAGCCCAAUAAAGAGUUCUAGCAAAUCAUUGAGGGCCUGAUACUUGCAGAAACGAGAUUAUAUACCUGGCUCGUAUUCUUGUAGUUUAAAAAUCAUGAUUUCUUUACCAACUCAGUUCGAACAUUUGGUUCAAAACUGAUUGUAAUUAGUUCUUGAGUUCUAAUUGAUCAAUCUGAUUAUGACCGUUUAUGGUGCUUCUCUUAAUGUUCAAAAAAUGUGUCCGCCCAUUAUUAAUCUCACAAUUUGGACCCUCGCAUGUAAUCUUAAACUGCAGAUUAGUAUUUAAAUUG
rnacentral:lncRNA from 1 species